rnacentral:rRNA from 1 species
CACGUAGGCACCAAGCGUUGUCCGGAUUUAUUGGGCGUAAAGGGCGCGUAGGCGGUCAGCACAAGUCAGUUGUGAAAUCUCCGGGCUUAACCCGGAAAGGUCAACUGAUACUGUGCGAACUAGAGUGCGGAAGGGGCAACUGGAAUUCUCGGUGUAGCGGUGAAAUGCGUAGAUAUCGAGAGGAACACCUGCGGCGAAGGCGGCAUUCUGGACGAUAUUGACGCUGAGGUGCGAAAGCGUGGGGAGCAAACAGG